CUGGACUCUCCAUUCUGGUCAACCUCAUCUCCCAUCCCCACCCCCCCCAACCCAAGGAUGCCAUGAGUCAGAGACUCACAGACAAAAGGCUGAGAAACCCUAGAUCCAUGUUGCUGAACCUAUGGCACAUAUGCCUGAGGGGGCUGUCUCAUCUUGCCUGAGGACAUUUCUCAUAUGACCCACCUCUCCACCCAGAAGCCCAAUGGGAGUGCUUCCUCCCUCCCCUGUCUGAGGUAAGUAGGCAGCUCACAUGCUGCAUGAGGGUUGCAGUUUGGACCCUCAGUCUCUAAAAGGUCCACCAUCACUGCCCUAGUUUCUACAGGUAUUAUUACAGGCAGCAAUGCUGUAAUGAAAGGAGACUUUGAUACAGAGUCAAGAAAAUUGGCUUCCAG
rnacentral:lncRNA from 1 species